rnacentral:rRNA from 1 species
AUGGAGCUAUUGGCUUUGAAUUGUAUUGUGGAAAUGUAUUACCAACAGAGGUGCAGGUGCCAGCCUAUUGAAAUAAAGCGUCAAUGAGGGUGAGAAUCCUGUUUGUCAUGUGCAGCCCUUUGUGCACGGUGUAUAUUUGCUGAGUCACACUCCUUGGCAUUGGAAUGCAAAGUGGGUGGUAAGUUUCAUGUAAAGGUAAACAUGCAAUUGAGACUGAUAGCACACAAGUACCAUGAGGGAAAUAUGAAAAGGACUUUGAUUAGAUUUGUAUUUGCUGAACACAAAGUAAACAGACUUGAUUUGCUUGGUGGGAGUGUUGCACUUGCUUGACAAGAGCUUUGGGCUGUGGGUGUAAUGAUUCUUUCUUUGCAUGCCAGUUUCUAUUUGUACAUCUGAUUACCUUUGCACAUGAAUGAUAAGUCUCCUGUGGGGGGGAUUGCAUGUGCAUGUAAUGAUUUGUGUUUUGAUAAAUGUGUCUGGUGUAUGUGUGUGUUCCUGCUUGGAUGCUUCCUUCCUUGACUUACAAGCCCGACACACACAUGCUGGAAAAUGCUUCUGCUUGACCCGCUUAACACGGACCGAGUCUAACAGAUGUGCGUUUAAGGUGGUAUAC